UACGUAGGGUGCGAGCGUUGUUCGGAAUUACUGGGCGUAAAGCGCGUGUAGGUGGCUCGCUAAGUCUGGUGUGAAAUCCCUGGGCUCAACCCAGGAAUUGCAUCGGAAACUGGCAGGCUCGAGUCCGGGAGAGGGUAGCGGAAUUCCUGGUGUAGAGGUGAAAUUCGUAGAUAUCAGGAGGAACACCGGUGGCGAAGGCGGCUACCUGGACCGGUACUGACACUGAGACGCGAAAGCGUGGGGAGCAAACAGG
rnacentral:rRNA from 1 species